AACGAACGCUGGCGGCAUGCCUAACACAUGCAAGUCGAACGAGAUCUUCGGGUCUAGUGGCGCACGGGUGCGUAACGCGUGGGAAUCUGCCCUUUGGUUCGGAAUAACAGUUGGAAACGACUGCUAAUACCGGAUGAUGACGAAAGUCCAAAGAUUUAUCGCCAGAGGAUGAGCCCGCGUAGGAUUAGCUAGUUGGUGUGGUAAAGGCGCACCAAGGCGACGACCCUUAGCUGGUCUGAGAGGAUGAUCAGCCACACUGGGACUGAGACACGGCCCAGACUCCUACGGGAGGCAGCAGUGGGGAAUAUUGGACAAUGGGCGAAAGCCUGAUCCAGCAAUGCCGCGUGAGUGAUGAAGGCCUUAGGGUUGUACAGCUCUUUUACCCGGGAUGAUAAUGACAGUACCGGGAGAAUAAGCUCCGGCUAACUCCGUGCCAGCAGCCGCGGUAA
rnacentral:rRNA from 1 species